rnacentral:rRNA from 1 species
CCCUUAGACGUUCUGGGCCGCACGCGCGCUACACUGACCAGUGCAACAAGCAUCCGUCCUUGGCCGACAGGCCCGUGCAAUCUUUGAACGCUGGUCGUGAUGGGGAUAGACUUUUGCAAUUUUUGGUCUUCAACGAGGAAUUCCUAGUAAACGCAAGUCAUCAACUUGCAUUGAUUACGUCCCUGCCCUUUGUACACACCGCCCGUCGCACCUACCGAUUGAAUGGUCCGGUGAAGCCUCCGGAUUGGCGCGCACCUCGGUGCCGCCGAGAAGUUGGCUAAACCUUACCAUUUAGAGGAAGGUGAAGUCGUAACA